rnacentral:rRNA from 1 species
CCUCUGGGUCCAACCUCCCACCCGUGUCUAUCGUACCUUGUUGCUUCGGCGGGCCCGCCGUUUCGACGGCCGCCGGGGAGGCCUUGCGCCCCCGGGCCCGCGCCCGCCGAAGACCCCAACAUGAACGCUGUUCUGAAAGUAUGCAGUCUGAGUUGAUUAUCGUAAUCAGUUAAAACUUUCAACAACGGAUCUCUUGGUUCCGGCAUCGAUGAAGAACGCAGCGAAAUGCGAUAAGUAAUGUGAAUUGCAGAAUUCAGUGAAUCAUCGAGUCUUUGAACGCACAUUGCGCCCCCUGGUAUUCCGGGGGGCAUGCCUGUCCGAGCGUCAUUGCUGCCCUCAAGCACGGCUUGUGUGUUGGGCCCCCGUCCCCCUCUCCCGGGGGACGGGCCCGAAAGGCAGCGGCGGCACCGCGUCCGGUCCUCGAGCGUAUGGGGCUUUGUCACCUGCUCUGUAGGCCCGGCCGGCGCCAGCCGACACCCAACUUUAUUUUUCUAAGGUUGACCUCGGAUCAGGUAGGGAUACCCGCUGAACUUAAGCAUAUCAAUAAGCGGAGGAA